CCCCUCUCAGGAUGGCACCUGGAGAGUUUCCAGUACUCUACCAGUCUUGACUAUAGGAGGGAGAGUCAAGCAGAGGCAUGCCCAUUCCAUUCCUAGCUUGGCCGGUGGCUAGCGAGGGGAAGGGAUCUGCUACAAGU